UACGUAGGGUGCGAGCGUUGUCCGGAAUUAUUGGGCGUAAAGGGCUCGUAGGCGGUUUGUCGCGUCGGGAGUGAAAACUCAGGGCUUAACCCUGAGCCUGCUUCCGAUACGGGCAGACUAGAGGUAUGCAGGGGAGAACGGAAUUCCUGGUGUAGCGGUGAAAUGCGCAGAUAUCAGGAGGAACACCGGUGGCGAAGGCGGUUCUCUGGGCAUUACCUGACGCUGAGGAGCGAAAGUGUGGGGAGCGAACAGG
rnacentral:rRNA from 3 species